rnacentral:tRNA from 1 species
GGAGCCGUAGUUCAGCUGGUUAGAACGCUGGCCUGUCACGCCAGAGGUCGCGAGUUCAAGUCUCGUCGGCUCCGCCA